rnacentral:rRNA from 1 species
UUCCAGACUCCUACGGGAGGCAGCAGUGGGGGAUAUUGCACAAUGGGGGGAACCCUGAUGCAGCGACGCCGCGUGGGUGAGGAAGUACCCCGGUAUGUAAAGCCCUUUCGGCAGGGAAGAAAAUGACGGUACCUGGCGAAGAAGCCCCGGCUAACUACGUGCCAGCAGCCGCGGUAAUACGUAGGGGGCAAGCGUUAUCCGGAUUUACUGGGUGUAAGGGGAGCGUAGACGGCAGCGCAAGUCUGGAGUGAAAUGCCGGGGCCCAACCCCGGAACUGCUUUGGAAACUGUGCAGCUCGAGUGCAGGAGAGGUAAGCGGAAUUCCUAGUGUAGCGGUGAAAUGCGUAGAUAUUAGGAGGAACACCAGUGGCGAAGGCGGCUUACUGGACUGUAACUGACGUUGAGGCUCGAAAGCGUGGGGAGCAAACAGGAUUAGAUCCCCUGGUA